CAUCGACCGAUAACGAUUGCAUUUUUCCUUGCUUUAUUGGAAUGCCGCUCUCCGCAACAGGAACUGUAACGUUAUAAUAAAACAUCCGUGUGCAUCCUAAGAUAUUGACUCAAUAUGUACUGACUACUUUGUGCCAAGAUCGGCGGGAUAUAUAGCUUUGACAGCGGACUGUGACAUUAUUCGACACGCGCUACGGAUAACAAUUCUAACAUAACAAAAUUAAACUGACACCGAUUAUCGAUAGUAAGUUGGUUUAUUACAUACCCGUCGCUAUAACCAGGAUUUAUUAGUUCGUUGUCAUCCAAAUUAUCUCAUAAGUUCGAUGAAUGUUUUGAACAAAAGUUGUAACGUUUUAUUCGAAAAUUUUUACCACGCAAAAUAUAAUAACACUCAUAAUUCGUAACCGGCCACCGCAAGUGUACAUUUAUAUUUUAACAUGCAACACGGUUCGUAUACACAAUGUGUGUCACAAAUGAAAUAAAUUGCCGUAAUUACUCGUAACAAUGAACAACCGUGAAAUAACGUGCAUCCUAAACAGCUCGAGAGUGAGAGAGAGCAGGAAGCCCGACGUAAAUAGUUUAAUCAUUGACUACCGGAAUAGUAGAGCGAAUACUACAUUUAAAAUACGUUUGAUCUCGACUACUAACUCGGUCGAUAAUUCCACUUUCUUCUGAUACAUUAUACGGCCGAUAGGAGGUGAGAAUUAUAUCACCGAUAAAAACAUGAUUCGUCGGAGAUCUAUUUGCAAUAAAAAAAGAAAAAAGUAAAAAAAAAAGACAUUACGAUCGGUGGUUGUCUAAAUUGUGUUCUUGUGAUUUUCUUUUUCUUUUUUUUUUUUUUUUUUUUUUAAUUUAAAAAUAUAUAGCUCUUAGAAAAAACUACAGUUUGUAUUUGUGAUAUGUAUUAUUAUAAUUAUAAUGAAAAAUGGUCAUGUUAAUUUUAUGAAAUAAAUGUUAUCGUGUAUGAAUAUUAGAACUGUUAUAUCAAUAUUCUAAUUCGCUUUAAAUUCAAUGAAUAAUUGUUAAGAAUGAAUUGUUACGAAAGAGCGAAUAAUAUAAUGCAAAUUCGAAAGAUGCGCUGACCUGGUGCAAUGAUAGGCGAUAUUGAAAAUUAUUCGUUUUAAUUAAUUUCAGUAGCUUUACUCGGAUAUGUACUGGAAUCAUCGUCUUCGUCAAUCUUUCUGAGUCGUUGGAGUUCUAAAGUACGUGUUCUGAAAAAUCCAUUAACAUGGAAUGACGAUAAUUUUUUAAAAAUUUGAUUACGUAGAUUUCAAAAAUAUAUUUAUAUACCUUCCAAAUGACUCAUCUCGCUCUCGUUCUUCUUUGCGUUGCCUAAGAACUCUUGAUGCAACGCAAAUUAUUAUGAGUACAAUGGGAAUUAUACUAGCAAGUACUAUACCAGUUGUGAUACCAGCUUGUCGGGAACUGUAUUCCUGUUGACCUAUAUGGUGGAAAAAAAAAGAAAAAGAAAAAAAAAAAGAAACAUUUACUUUAUAUUACUCUUCGUGACCAGCCCAAUUUCAAAUAGAAGUUAACUUUGACGAAAAGACCUGAAAUAAAGAAGUUAGAGAAAGAACAGGAUCGAGGAUAAGGGAAAGUUUGCAAAGACUUUGGUGGAAACUUCCAUUCCACUUGGAAUUGUUUAAAAGAUAGUAAGAUGUUACAAUAUAGAUAUAUAAGAGAAGGAGAUUUAGCGACGCACUGAAAUUUGUUAUGAUAUUGAAAAACUAUGGAAAAAAAAUGAACAAAGAGAAUAUUAUGAAAUGGA